rnacentral:lncRNA from 1 species
ACCUUUUCCUUCUUCAUCCAUUUAUCAAGUAGUCUUUGAGCGAGGGAUCACUUUCAUCAUAUUCAGUGAAGAAUCUGAUCAUAGAAUCGAUUUGAGGCGUCUCCUGCUUGAUCUCGAAUUGCCUAAGAACUCUGUUGGGAUUGUAGGGACGGAAGAUCAGAAAGCACUAAAAAAGGCUACUCACCCCCUCAAAUAAUGUAUUUCCCUAAACGAAGAUAGUUAAGGGACCAUUGGACAUCGCCAUC